CCUACGGGAGGCAGCAGUAGGGAAUCUUCCGCAAUGGACGAAAGUCUGACGGAGCAACGCCGCGUGAGUGAUGAAGGUUUUCGGAUUGUAAAACUCUGUAGUUUGGGAAGAACAAGUGUCGUUCAAAUAGGGUGGCACCUUGACGGUACCUAACCAGAAAGCCACGGCUAACUUCGUGCCAGCAGCCGCGGUAAUACGUAGGUGGCAAGCGUUGUCCGGAAUUAUUGGGCGUAAAGGGCGCGUAGGCGGUUUUUUAAGUCUGAUGUGAAAGCCCCCGGCUCAACCUGGGAGGGUCAUUGGAAACUGGGGAACUAGAGUGCAGAAGAGGAGAGUGGAAUUCCCCGUGUAGCGGUGAAAUGCGUAGAGAUGUGAGAGGAACACCAGUGGCGAAGGCGACCUUCUGGUCUGUAACUGACGCUGAGGAGCGAA
rnacentral:rRNA from 1 species